rnacentral:rRNA from 1 species
GACGAACGCUGGCGGCGUGCUUCAUACAUGCAAGUCGAACGAGAAGCCGACUUCGGUCAGUGGAAAGUGGCGGACGGGUGAGUAAUAUGUAGGAAAUCUGCCUUUAGGAGGGGGACAACAGAGGGAAACUACUGCUAAUACCCCAUAUGAGCGUAGCUGAAAUGCUAUUCUUGAAAACUCCGGUGCCUAAAGAUGAGCCUGCAUCUGAUUAGCUAGUUGGUAGUGUAAUGGACGACCAAGGCGACGAUCAGUAGCUGGGUUGGGAGGAUGAGCAGCCAACAGCUGAGUGAGACACGGCCCAUACACCUACGGGAGGCAGCAGUAGGGUAUUUCGCGCAAGGGGCGAAAGCCUGACGCAGCAACGGGGCGUGAACGAUUAAGGCCGUCGGGGAGGAGAGUUCUGUUAGUGGGGACGGAACUUGACGGUACCCACAGAAGAAGCACCGGCUAACUCCGUG